rnacentral:rRNA from 1 species
CCUACGGGGGGCAGCAGUGGGGAAUAUUGCACAAUGGGGGAAACCCUGAUGCAGCGACGCCGCGUGAGUGAAGAAGUAAUUCGUUAUGUAAAGCUCUAUCAGCAGGGAAGAAAAUGACGGUACCUGAGUAAGAAGCCCCGGCUAACUACGUGCCAGCAGCCGCGGUAAUACGUAGGGGGCAAGCGUGAUCCGGAUUUACUGGGUGAAAAGGGAGCGUAGACGGCAGUGCAAGGCUGGAGUGAAAGGCGGGGGCUCAACCCCCGGACUGCUCUGGAAACUGUACGGCUGGAGUGCGGGAGGGGCAGGCGGAAUUCCUGGUGUAGCGGUGAAAUGCGUAGAUAUAAGGAGGAACACCGGUGGCGAAGGCGGCCUGCUGGACUGCGACUGACGUUGAGGCCCGAAAGCGUGGGGAGCAAACAGGAUUAGAUACCCGUGUAGUC